UACGGCUGGAAGUGAAAAACUGCUUAUAUUCAGGAGUGCUGAAUUAUUAGGCAUGUUUUCUUUUACUGAUAAAAUUAGCCAAAAAAAUAGCAUCCUGUUCUGCAGAUGUUAUAACAUAUCUGUAGGAAAUAAUUAUUUUUUGUGGAGAGGUUUUUGAAUUUUCCUUAUGGUUCCUGACCCCUGUUCCAGAAUCUGGCAGUAAUUAUGGGAGCUCAUUUUUAUUCCAUCUUCUAUUCUGAAAAGUCUUAAUUCUUAAUUCUUUUGCAGUUAACUUGUGUCUUUUCUCCACCUGUCAAUUUCUGUAUUGCAAUAGUUUUGAAUAAUUCUCAUGGGGAUUUAAUAAUUUUUGACUUUUCAGUCUUUUUUGGCUCAUUUCAUCUGUAAAAAAAAGAAUUGCCUAAUAAUUCUGCACACCUGAAUAUAAGGAG
ensembl:lncRNA